GCCUUCCACACGCUAUCAAGUGCGGCGCCCCUGACUAUAUCGCUGCAGAGCGGCGUCGCUGUUUGCUUGAGGCGCCCCAAGCAGCAGAAUGUAAUGAAAGUUCAAGUGCAUGGGGGUGGCCGGAAGGUGUCUUAUCAGCGUGGUGGUUCAUUAUCAAAGCUAUCCACGAAGAAAACGUCCUUGAUCUACCCGCCCAGCCGACUGCACUCGCUGCAUUGCGCGCUUGGGGCCAUUGACACAUUUGAAAUCCGCAGCAGUUUUGGUCACAGUUUCCUCAGUCUAUUCUCCAGGACUGUGAAGAACUCUAUUCCGAGACUGCCGUGACGCAGCCAUUCAGUUGCAGUGACCGUACCAUAUGAACACACCACAAACCGGCCACAAAGUCUGAUGAAGAAGCUGUUGAAGUGAAAUGCAAGUUUUCUUUGCAAAAGAGGAGCAUCUUGAAAACAUCGAAUACAGUGCAAAAAGCACCCGGUGCACAAGAUUUAUUAUGGGGCAGUACGGUACGUGUGGAGAUGGAUCAACAUACGAAGUCAGAAAAGGGAUUACGAAACCGUUCAUUUGCAGCAGCGCUAAUACUAUACUGUUACGAUUUCUGGGUCAGUACAACUGGAGCUUGAGAUAUGCGUUGAAGACUGAAACUGAAAUAUCAGAUGCAAGAUUGUUUCAUGCGAAUGCAGAAACAGCUGGGUUUACUUCAUCAUGGAUAAUGUUGUGAACGCAGCAUAAAAAAUGACACAGGAGACGGCACGA